UACAGAGGUCUCAAGCGUUGUUCGGAUUCAUUGGGCGUAAAGGGUGCGUAGGCGGCCAACUAAGUCAGACGUGAAAUCCCUCGGCUUAACCGGGGAACUGCGUCUGAUACUGGAUGGCUUGAGUUUGGGAGAGGGAUGCGGAAUUCCAGGUGUAGCGGUGAAAUGCGUAGAUAUCUGGAGGAACACCGGUGGCGAAGGCGGCAUCCUGGACCAACACUGACGCUGAGGAGCGAAAGCCAGGGGAGCAAACGGG
rnacentral:rRNA from 1 species